AGAGUUUGAUCCUGGCUCAGAACGAACGCUGGCGGCAUGCCUAACACAUGCAAGUCGAACGAACCCUUCGGGGUUAGUGGCGCACGGGUGCGUAACGCGUGGGAAUCUGCCCUUUGCUUCGGAAUAACAGUUAGAAAUGACUGCUAAUACCGGAUGAUGUCUUCGGACCAAAGAUUUAUCGGCAAAGGAUGAGCCCGCGUAGGAUUAGGUAGUUGGUGGGGUAAAGGCCUACCAAGCCGACGAUCCUUAGCUGGUCUGAGAGGAUGAUCAGCCACACUGGGACUGAGACACGGCCCAGACUCCUACGGGAGGCAGCAGUGGGGAAUAUUGGACAAUGGACGCAAGUCUGAUCCAGCAAUGCCGCGUGAGUGAUGAAGGCCUUAGGGUUGUAAAGCUCUUUUACCAGGGAUGAUAAUGACAGUACCUGGAGAAUAAGCUCCGGCUAACUCCGUGCCAGCAGCCGCGGUAAUACGGAGGGAGCUAGCGUUGUUCGGAAUUACUGGGCGUAAAGCGCACGUAGGCGGUUACUCAAGUCAGAGGUGAAAGCCCGGGGCUCAACCCCGGAACUGCCUUUGAAACUAGGUAACUAGAAUCCUGGAGAGGUGAGUGGAAUUCCGAGUGUAGCGGUGAAAUGCGUAG
rnacentral:rRNA from 1 species